rnacentral:rRNA from 1 species
GACGAACGCUGGCGGCGUGCCUAAUACAUGCAAGUCGAACGCAGUGGGGACGGGUGAGUAACACGUGGGUAACCUCCCAUCAGAGGGGAUAACACUUGGAAACAGGUGCUAAACCCAUACUGAUGGAUGGACCCUCGGUGCAUUAGCUAGUUCGUGCGGUAACGGCUCACCAAGGCAACGAUGCAUAGCCGACCUGAUAGGGUGUUCGGCCACACUGGGACGGAGACACGGCCCAGACCCCUACGGGAGGCAGUAGUAGGGAAUCUUCUGCAAUGGAAUAAAGUCUGACCGAGCAACGCCGAGUGAGUGAAGAAUGGUUUCGGAUCUGAAACCUCUGUUGUUAGAGAAGCGGUAUUUAACCAGAAAGCCACGGCUAACUACGUGCCAGCCGCCGCGGUAAUUC